AGUGAACGCUGGCGGUAGGCCUAACACAUGCAAGUCGAACGGCAGCACAGUAAGAGCUUGCUCUUACGGGUGGCGAGUGGCGGACGGGUGAGGAAUACAUCGGAAUCUACUUUUUCGUGGGGGAUAACGUAGGGAAACUUACGCUAAUACCGCAUACGACCUACGGGUGAAAGCAGGGGAUCUUCGGACCUUGCGCGAUUGAAUGAGCCGAUGUCGGAUUAGCUAGUUGGCGGGGUAAAGGCCCACCAAGGCGACGAUCCGUAGCUGGUCUGAGAGGAUGAUCAGCCACACUGGAACUGAGACACGGUCAAGACUCCUACGGGAGGCAGCAGUGGGGAAUAUUGGACAAAGGGCGCAAGCCUGAUCCAGCCAUACCGCGUGGGUGAAGAAGGCCUUCGGGUUGUAAAGCCCUUUUGUUGGGAAAGAAAAGCAGCAGGUUAAUACCCCGCUGUUCUGACGGUACCCAAAGAAUAAGCACCGGCUAACUUCGUG
rnacentral:rRNA from 1 species